GGGGAAUAUUGCACAAUGGGCGCAAGCCUGAUGCAGCGACGCCGCGUGGGGGAUGACGGCCUUCGGGUUGUAAACUCCUUUCGCUAGGGACGAAGCUUUUUGUGACGGUACCUAGAUAAGAAGCACCGGCUAACUACGUGCCAGCAGCCGCGGUAAUACGUAGGGUGCGAGCGUUGUCCGGAAUUACUGGGCGUAAAGGGCUCGUAGAUGGUUUGUCGCGUCGUCUGUGAAAUUCCGGGGCUUAACUCCGGGCGUGCAGGCGAUACGGGCAUAACUUGAGUACUGUAGGGGUAACUGGAAUUCCUGGUGUAGCGGUGAAAUGCGCAGAUAUCAGGAGGAACACCGAUGGCGAAGGCAGGUUACUGGGCAGUUACUGACGCUGAGGAGCGAAAGCAUGGGUAGCGAACAGGAUUAGAUACCCUGGUAGUCCAUGCCGUAAACGGUGGGCGCUAGGUGUGAGGGUCUUUUCACGACUUUCGUGCCGUAGCUAACGCAUUAAGCGCCCCGCCUGGGGAGUACGGCCGCAAGGCUA
rnacentral:rRNA from 1 species